rnacentral:rRNA from 1 species
GGCGUGUGAAUAUUAGGACAAUGGGCGCAAGCCUGAUCCAGCCAUGCCGCGUGAGUGAUGAAGGCCCUAGGGUUGUAAAGCUCUUUCAACGGUGAAGAUAAUGACGGUACCCGAAGAAAAAGCCCCGGCUAACUUCGUGCCAGCAGCCGCGGUAAUGAGCC